rnacentral:rRNA from 1 species
GUGGGGAAUAUUGGACAAUGGGCGAAAGCCUGAUCCAGCCAUGCCGCGUGAGUGAUGAAGGCCUUAGGGUUGUAAAGCUCUUUCAGUAGGGAAGAUAAUGACGGUACCUACAGAAGAAGCCCCGGCUAACUUCGUGCCAGCAGCCGCGGUAAUACGAAGGGGGCUAGCGUUGUUCGGAUUUACUGGGCGUAAAGCGCACGUAGGCGGAUUGGUCAGUUAGAGGUGAAAUCCUGGAGCUCAACUCCAGAACUGCCUUUAAUACUGCCAGUCUAGAGUCCAGAAGAGGUGAGUGGAACUCCUAGUGUAGAGGUGGAAUUCGUAGAUAUUAGGAAGAACACCAGUGGCGAAGGCGGCUCACUGGUCUGGUACUGACGCUGAGGUGCGAAAGCGUGGGGAGCAAACAGGAUUAGAAACCCGAGUAGUCC